GACUGACUGGCUCGAUACUGACACUGAGGUGCGAAAGCGUGGGGAGCAAACGGGAUUAGAUACCCCGGUAGUGCACGCCGUAAACGAUGUCUACUAGCCGUUGGAGGACUUGAUCCUUUAGUGGCGCAGCUAACGCGAUAAGUAGACCGCCUGGGGAGUACGGUCGCGAGAUUAAAACUCAAAUGAAUUGACGGGGGCCCGCACAAGCGGUGGAGCAUGUGGUUUAAUUCGAAGCAACGCGAAGAACCUUACCUACUCUUGACAUCCAGUGAACUUUUGAGAGAUCAAUUGGUGCCUUCGGGAACACUGAGACAGGUGCUGCAUGGCUGUCGUCAGCUCGUGUUGUGAAAUGUUGGGUUAAGUCCCGUAACGAGCGCAACCCUUGUCCUUAGUUACCAUCAUUAAGUUGGGGACUCUAAGGAGACUGCCGGUGACAAACCGGAGGAAGGCGGGGACGACGUCAAGUCAUCAUGGCCCUUACGAGUAGGGCUACACACGUGCUACAAUGGCAUGUACAAAGGGUUGCCAAGCCGCGAGGUGGAGCUAAUCCCAUAAAGCAUGUCGUAGUCCGGAUUGGAGUCUGCAACUCGACUCCAUGAAGUCGGAAUCGCUAGUAAUCGUGAAUCAGAAUGUCACGGUGAAUACGUUCCCGGGCCUUGUACACACCGCCCGUCACACCAUGGGAGUGGGUUGCUCCAGAAGUAGAUAGCUUAACCUUCGGGAGGGCGUUUACCACGGAGUGAUUCAUGACUGGGGUGAAGUCGUAACAAGGUAACCGUA
rnacentral:rRNA from 1 species